rnacentral:rRNA from 1 species
CCUACGGAUGCAGCAGUAGGGAAUCUUCGGCAAUGGACGAAAGUCUGACCGAGCAACGCCGCGUGAGUGAAGAAGGUUUUCGGAUCGUAAAACUCUGUUGUUAGAGAAGAACAAGUAGGAGAGUAACUGCUCUUACCUUGACGGUAUCUAGCCAGAAAGCCACGGCUAACUACGUGCCAGCAGCCGCGGUAAUACGUAGGUGGCAAGCGUUGUCCGGAUUUAUUGGGCGUAAAGCGAGCGCAGGCGGUCUUUUAAGUCUGGUGUGAAAGCCCUCGGCUCAACCGAGGAAGGUCAUUGGAAACUGGAGGACUUGAGUGCAGAAGAGGAGAGUGGAAUUCCAUGUGUAGCGGUGAAAUGCGUAGAUAUAUGGAGGAACACCAGUGGCGGAGGCGACUCUCUGGUCUGUAACUGACGCUGAGGCUCGAAAGCGUGGGAGCAAACAGGAUUAGAUACCCCAGUAGUC